CUCGCCAAUCUCAAAGAGUGAACUUCAUGACCUUCUAAGCAAGCCAUCACUGAGCGGGAUUCCAUUGCUGGUCCUUGGAAAUAAAAUUGAUAAGCCUGAAGCUCUGUCUAAGUAAGGUUUGACUGAGGAGAUGGGCCUAAAGUCUAUCACUGACAUAGAAGUUUGGUGUUUCAUGAUCUCAUGCAAGAACUCAACCAACAUUGAUCUGUAAUAGAUUGGCUUGUGAAGCACUCGAAAUCCAAAAACUGAGGAUAUAGCCUUGUGGUGCUAGAUUUUUCUUAUUUUCUAUGGGUAUUGAGGUGUUAUGAGUGGGAUGAUUCCUGGGGUUUGUGCAAAACACUUCAUUAUAUCGAAACUUGGUGACUUGUGCUUUGCGUCCUUGUAGUGAUUUGUGUGAAAAUAUAUCUAUCUUUGCAUUUAGACAAUAAACAAUAAAUGAUUUCAAUUGUUUUCUGAAGAAA